CGUUUCCGUUUUUGCGAUGGCCACGUGGGCGCGAACAUAUUUUGUGGCUCUACAUUUUAUGUAGGUGUACAUGUAAACUACUAAAGGGCAACUCCUCCACAUUUCAACCUCAUUCAUUAUCUCCAGCCCCAAACCAGUGUCUACAUAUGCGAAAUCGUUACGUUUCUGUGGUUAAAAGAUAAAGGUCCCAAAUGCUUCUAACAUCACGUCUCCAAGGUGAAGAGUACAAUGAGGAAGAUUAGAUGCCACCAUGACCUAUUGGUGUCACUGUCCAAGCAAAUGGCACAUGAACGUAGCAGUAAGGCCUGCCUUUUCUCCGUGAAAGAAUAUAGUGAUAAAGGGUGGUGCAGCACUGCUUGCUGACUUACUGGUUAGUGGGUCAUGAUGUGACUCCACAAUGGAUGUGAAGUUGCCAAUGCGAAAUUGGUAUACCGCUGGUUGGUGUCCUAGCGGCUGUGACCUGGAAGUAGCAGAAUGAUUGCCGCCUUUCCUCCCUGAAAGAAUGCUGUGCAGUGUGCACAUAACAGCGAUAAAGGAUGGUCUGGAGGUGCAGCAGUGCUGACCUACUGGUUAUAGUGGGUCAUGAUGAGGCGCCACAAGCCACGCUGCCAAUGAGAAGUUGGUAUUUUGGUGUCCUAGCAGAUGUAACCUGGAAGUAGCAGAAUAAUUGCCGCCUUUCCUCCCUGAAAGAAUGCUGUGCACAGAACGGUAAGCAACAUCCAUGGCAUUUUAACUUUAAGUCUUAAAAGAAAAUGUUUAAUGAGAAAUCAUUCACCACGCUGAACUUGUGAUGGAUAACCUCUAUACCACAUUAUCUGAGACCUGCAGAGACAUAGUUACAAAUUCACACAAGGCUUGUUAAUGUUACACUGAGCAAAUGAACGGGUUGGUUUCAUGAGCUGAAAUAAAAGUUCGCAGAAAUCUUCCAUGCGCACAAGAACCUUAUUUCUCAAAUGUUUUGCACAAACUUGUUUAUACCUGUUAGUGAGCAUUUUCCUUUGCCAAGAUGAUCCAUCCACCUGAUAUGUGACAUAAGCUUCUUUAUUAAACAGCAUGAUCAUUACACAGGUACACCUUGUGCUGUGAAAAAAAUAUGCCGUUUUGUCAACACAAUGCCACAGAUCUCUCAUGUUGAGGGAGCGCAAUUAGCAUGCCGACUGCAGGAAUGUCAACCAGAGCUGUUGCCAGAUUUGGAUUUUAAUUUCUCUACCAUAAGCAGCAUCCCAACAUUUUAGAAUUUGUCAGGACUUCCAUAUUUUCACCUAUACGAUCUGAGACCGCUACCCGGACAGCUGAAACUGGGUUUGCUCAACAUUCAGUUCUGCAUGGACUGUCAUACAGUCUCAGGACACUUGGGUGUCUUGACCUGACUAUGCUCACCUUUGUUGGAGUGUGCCCUUCACAGGUGUAUCCCAGUUUCAACUGUACCGGGUAGAUGGCAGGCAGCGUCCAGUGUUGUGGGUGCGCAGUUUGCUGAUGUCAAAGUUGCGAAGAGUGCCCUAUGGUGGCAGUGGUGUUACGAUAUGGGCAGGCAUAAGCAAUGGCCAACUACAUACAAAUUGCCGUCGAUAAUAUGUAAUUGUGUUUUGAGGUUCCGUGAUGAGAUCCUGAGGCCUGUUGUGCCGCCAUCUGUCUCACCUCGUGUUUCAGCGCUAAUCCAUGGCCCUAUGUUGUAAUGAUCUGUACAAAAUUCCUGUGAGCUGAAAUGUCCUGUUUCUUCCAUGGCUUACAUACAGAGCAUGUUUAUGAUGCUUUGUAUGAUUGUGUGUUCCUGCAAUAUCCAUCCACUUCGAACAGGCCACACUCACCUCAUCUGCUCAACUCUAUGCGAAGGAGAUGUUGUGAUGCCUGAGGUAAAUGGUUGUUGCACGAGCCUUUAUCUGUGACAAAUCUAUUCCCUGUCAUGUGAAAUCUAUAGAUUAGGGCCUACUGGAUUUAGUACCAUAGCCUGAUUUUCCUUGACUUAACUUUGAAAAUUUGAAAUUAGUUCGGUAUAGAUUAAACCUACUAAUGGACUAAAGCUCUUUCAAUGGAGAAUCCAUGUAGGCACCAAUAGGUUUGUUUUUCAGCACAUGUAUUAAUGGUGUUUCCUACCUCUUGAUGUACUUGUGGCUCCAAUUGCAUGAUAAACUGACCCACAAUGACUUAACUGCCCGCUUUAGUGGGAAGCAGGUAUGGCACAGUCUCAGGUACCCAGACCCUCGCCAGGAGGGCAAAGUGUCCUAACCUAUUAAUCACGCACGUUUGGUGCAAUACUCAAGAACUAGCAUCAAUGUAUUUGGACCCACUACUUAAUGUGUAUGCUGUUGCCUUGAUAUGUUGCUCUUCAAACUUACCUGUUACAUCUUUAUUUUCAGAGUCUGACAGUGUGGGGUUGACAUGGCGCCACAGGUCAUUGUAAGUCUGCCUCAUUUGGUUACACACUGGCUAAAUGUAUAUUGGUCUCAUCGAAAUCUGCCCCUUGAGGUGUUGCAGUCCGACUAUGUGUUGAGCCUGUGUCAUGAGGGGCGGAGAGUAACCGGGCUACGUCUACGCCAAGGACCCAGGACAGUGGGUACUUUGCAUGACUAUGGCGCCGAUAUUGGGACCCAUUUUAGACCAGCAGACAAAUGUCAACUUCUAGUGCUUGAACAGGUGGCCGAGUGCUUGAUUUAAGCUCCCUCGGUAGUUUAGCUUGUUUUGCCAAAACCACUUAUUACUGACUGGUAAUUGCCAUUGGGCCAAUACUUAGUUGAUUCAACUAACCUGAGGUUUUAUGACUUGGUCACUUUUUUUAAAGGGUUGCCAGGUUUUUUAUAUUAUUCUCACCAAUUUCCUGAUUUGAUCGAUGGGACAGGUGCUGAAGAACGACUGAAGAUUGGCCUGUUGAAGAUGAAAGGUGGCAGUACCUUAGAAGAAAGCAGAUUGUUCAGUUGCCAGUCCUAGACUAGGGUGCCAUCUGAUUGUGUAUGCAGCUGCCACUAUUAUAGCCGUUAGAUGCCGUUAAUCACAGCAAGCUCAGUUUUAGUUUCUGGUUAUCACGUGAAAACCCUUUACUCUGGGUGACCUAGGUGAAAUUGGCUCAACAAAUAUUAAUUAAACAUACCUGCCCUGUUCGAUUUGAAUAAAUGUAUUGCUUUCAAGAUAAUUAAAAUAAACUCAAGCUGAUCUCA